rfam:Lachnospiraceae bacterium 10-1 genomic scaffold acPFo-supercont1.1, whole genome shotgun sequence.
AAAAUCCUGUCGGGAAAGGUUUAAUCAACCGCCCGUACCAAGUCCUUGGAGUCGAAGUGGCAACAUCAGAUUUAAGCAUAGGACAGAGGCAACAGAGCCGAAACGAAAGUGAAGUGAUAGAGCUUGCAAAUUAGUAUGAGGUCGGAAAUGGUCGAUGCGUUUGCGUUCGUAGCAGACAACAUCUCUGUAACCGCUAUGGUGAGGGACAGGGGCAUCCCCCAGUCCGAGAGCU